AUUGAUGAUGAUUAUGAUUCGAGUAUGGCUCUGUAACACCCCGGGAUCCACAAACACCCCAGAAUGCUACUAAACUACACAUCUAACAUUCGUAUAUAAAAUUUCGACAGCAUCUCCUUUGAAAAUUGCAUAAACAGGGAAGCAACAAAGUAUAAAUAGAUAUCAUGAUAAGAAAACAUAAUAGGCAUUAAUAGUCUGCUAGCAAUGGGAAGACAACCAUAACGGCAUGAGCUAAAUUAACCAGUGCGCCCAACUAGUUAGAAACAAACAUCCUUUGACAAGAAGCUUCUAAUUAAAUCAUGACUGCGCCUAAACAGCGUUAUUAUAAGAGUGAAGGUGGAUGUGCUGCUACUUCCCACUUCCCUUGAUGAGCAACAAGCACCUGCAUUAAGUAAUGCAAGAGUGAGAUGAAACAUCUCAGCAAGCGAAUUAUUUUGAUGAGAUAUUUAAACCACAAAUUGAAUUCAUCAACAUUUUAAAAGAGUCACAAUUAAAAUAAGAAAUACUUAUAGAUAUAGAACUCAGUAGUCCCACUAUAACCAAUACCAUCUCAUUUCCUCGAACAACCACAAUAUGUUCUAUAACACUUCCCUGCGUCAACAAUAUACCUACAAAUAUCACUUCAAUUUAUGCAUAAGAAUGCAAUGUGUAGGUACUCUAUCUUCAUACCUCUGAGGGUAUAAAACCACAUCAUCUGCAAAUAUCACUUCAAUGAAUUCAUAUGAAUGCAAUGCAUAUGUCCUCUGCCUUCAUACCUCGAAGGGUAUGAAGCCGCAUCGUACCCCUCCUCGGGCAACGUACGAUGCUAAAUUGUACCAGUACGGUCGGACCAUAGGUCACGACAAAACUUCAGAUGCAAAUGAGUCAUGCAAUGUAUAUGGCAUGCUGCAUUUAUCAAUAAACUUCACUUUCUUCAGAUACAAUACAAACCUCAAAUAAUACUUUAUUUACCUUUAGAUACAAUACCAACCUCAAAUAAUACUUCAUUUACCUUUAGGGGUGUGAAUUAAUCUCAUAAAUCAUACUCGAAUCAUAAUCAUCAUCAAUAUAUGAUUGAGCAUCAGUAUAAUUCAAGCAAGUAAAGCAUCAUCAUAGAGUCCAAUUAUGAAAGAAUCCAAUACUUCUGAAUAUUAGAGUGUAGGCAAUAGAAAUAACAGGUCAGAACGGAAGCAACCACUGUUACAUUCACUUGCCUUCAUCGAAGAAGAAAAAUGUACUAGGCAUGAUCAAGAGUGUAGCCACCUGCUAGCGGGCAUAAAACUUAGUACAAAUAUUUCACAAACAUUUGCCAACAAUGAACAAAUCGCUCCUACACCUGAAACCAAGACCUGGUGGAAAACCUCCCACUCUGAACCACAUGUCAUACAGCAGCAACGCUGUUUGUUAAUUUUGUAUCUUUAAAAUUAUAACAGUGGUGAUAUCAAACAAAUACUCUAGGAGUAUCUACACAAAAUACUCUACAACUUUACCAUUCGAUGGAUAAUUAAAUUCUGCCAUCUAUAAGUUCUAAAACAUCUGACAAGAUAACUGACUGAAUCUGUUUUAGACAGCAGCAUAAUUAACUUUCAAAAUUCGAUAUCUCACAAACUACUCAACCAAAAAUCAUGAAAUUCUGCUGGAAAUAAGAACUUUUAUCCCUCUACAAAAGUCUCCAUAGCUAGGAGAGCCAAUUCGGCCAUUUACCUGAUGAAACCUACUUGUGAACAGACCCGCUCAUUUCUGUCAGGCCAACAGAAACAGCUACAGUAAAACAAACAUAACUGGAGUUUCAUAAUUCAUAUGAAUGCACUCUUUAAAAAUCUGGAAAGGUUAUGAAUUUAUCUACAUCUUCCCUUACAAACCCAAGGUUUAAUUCUGUUGAUAAAAUUGCCUAAAUCUUAAGAGAACAGAUUCUGCACAGAAUUAAGAGACUGAAAAACUGCUAUAAUCAAAUUGCAAUAACUCUCUGAUCUGAUGUCCGAUUGAGGUGUUCUUCGCGGCCACGGAAAGAUCUACAAAUUAUCUACGACUCAUAUACAGAAUUUUUAUUUUUUUGAGGCCACUAAGACCACGGAAAACUGGUAUGAACAGAAACUGUCGAAUCUGCCAUUCUGCAGAAAACUAAAUUCGAGAUCAAAACCUAACCCCACAUCUAAUCCAACCUCUAAUCCUUUAAUUCCCAUGAUCCACAACCUCCAAAAGCACAAAAUUACAGAGAGGAACAAGGAUCUCAUCCAUACCUAGGGUUUCCCCAAGAAAUUCUGCAAGAAGAGAUGGGGAAGAACAUCUCCUUGAUCCUCUCUUCCCCUUCAAUUCAACAUGCUCCUCCUCUUCUCGAUCCUUCUUGUGCGGGGGAGAUCUAGAGGGAGGAGGAAGCCGUGGAGAGGGGUUUCCAUGGGAGGAGAGGAAGGCCAGCCCAAGGGGAAAGGAGGGAGGGGCGGCCAAGUGUGGGAGGGGGGGAAGG
rnacentral:lncRNA from 1 species